rnacentral:rRNA from 1 species
UACAGAGGUCCCAAGCGUUGUUCGGAUUCACUGGGCGUAAAGGGUGCGUAGGUGGCCAGGUAAGUUUGGUGUGAAAGCUCGGAGCUUAACUCCGAAAAGUCAUUGAAUACUAUCUGGCUGGAGGGUCGGAGGGGAGACUGGAAUUCUCGGUGUAGCAGUGAAAUGCGUAGAUAUCAGGAAGAACACCCGUGGCGAAAGCGGCUCUCUGGAACGGUACUGACGCUGAGACGCGAAAGCGUGGGGAGCGAACAGG